GACGAGUGGCGGACGGGUGAGUAAUGUCUGGGAAACUGCCUGAUGGAGGGGGAUAACUACUGGAAACGGUAGCUAAUACCGCAUAACGUCGCAAGACCAAAGAGGGGGACCUUCGGGCCUCUUGCCAUCGGAUGUGCCCAGAUGGGAUUAGCUUGUAGGUGGGGUAACGGCUCACCUAGGCGACGAUCCCUAGCUGGUCUGAGAGGAUGACCAGCCACACUGGAACUGAGACACGGUCCAGACUCCUACGGGAGGCAGCAGUGGGGAAUAUUGCACAAUGGGCGCAAGCCUGAUGCAGCCAUGCCGCGUGUAUGAAGAAGGCCUUCGGGUUGUAAAGUACUUUCAGCGGGGAGGAAGGGAGUAAAGUUAAUACCUUUGCUCAUUGACGUUACCCGCAGAAGAAGCACCGGCUAACUCCGUGCCAGCAGCCGCGGUAAUACGGAGGGUGCAAGCGUUAAUCGGAAUUACUGGGCGUAAAGCGCACGCAGGCGGUUUGUUAAGUCAGAUGUGAAAUCCCCGGGCUCAACCUGGGAACUGCAUCUGAUACUGGCAAGCUUGAGUCUCGUAGAGGGGGGUAGAAUUCCAGGUGUAGCGGUGAAAUGCGUAGAGAUCUGGAGGAAUACCGGUGGCGAAGGCGGCC
rnacentral:rRNA from 1 species